UACGUAGGGUGCAAGCGUUGUCCGGAUUUAUUGGGCGUAAAGAGCUCGUAGGCGGUUCGAUCAGUCGGAUGUGAAACCCCCAGGCUCAACCUGGGGCCGCCAUCCGAUACUGUCGUGACUGGAGUCCGGUAGGGGACCAUGGAAUUCCUGGUGUAGCGGUGAAAUGCGCAGAUAUCAGGAAGAACACCCGUGGCUAAGGCGGCUCUCUAGUACGGUACUGACGCUGAGACGCGAAAGCGUGGGGAGCGAACAGG
rnacentral:rRNA from 1 species